GACGAACGCUGGCGGCGUGCUUAACACAUGCAAGUCGAGCGGAGCGGCGCACGGGUGAGUAACGCGUGAGUAACUGCCCCCCUCUCUGGGAUAACCGUUGGAAACGGCUGCUAAUACCGGAUAGUGGGGGAUGACUCGCGUCCUAUCAGCUUGUUGGUGGGGUAGUGGCCUACCAAGGCGACGACGUGUAGCCGGCCUGAGAGGGCGACCGGCCACAUUGGGCUGAGAUACGGGCCAAACACAUACGGGAGGCAGCAGGGGGGAAUAGUGCACAAUGGGGGAAACCGUGAUGCAGCAACGCCGCGUGCGGGAUGACGGCGGUCGGGUUGUACGCCGCUGUCAGCCAUGACGCGGUAGUGGCAGAAGAAGCACCGGCUAACUACGUGCCAGCAGCCGCGGUAAUUC
rnacentral:rRNA from 1 species